rnacentral:rRNA from 1 species
UACGGGGGGGCAAGCGUUGUUCGGAAUUACUGGGCGUAAAGGGCGCGUAGGCGGCCUUCUAAGUCAGACGUGAAAUCCCUCGGCUCAACCGAGGAACUGCGUCUGAUACUGGAAGGCUUGAAUCCGGAGAGGGAUGUGGAAUUCCAGGUGUAGCGGUGAAAUGCGUAGAUAUCUGGAGGAACACCGGUGGCGAAGGCGGCAUCCUGGACCGGUAUUGACGCUGAGGCGCGAAAGUGUGGGAGCGAACAGG